rnacentral:rRNA from 1 species
AGAGCUUGCUCUCGGGUGACGAGCGGCGGACGGGUGAGUAAUGUCUGGGAAACUGCCUGAUGGAGGGGGAUAACUACUGGAAACGGUAGCUAAUACCGCAUAAUGUCGCAAGACCAAAGUGGGGGACCUUCGGGCCUCAUGCCAUCAGAUGUGCCCAGAUGGGAUUAGCUAGUAGGUGGGGUAACGGCUCACCUAGGCGACGAUCCCUAGCUGGUCUGAGAGGAUGACCAGCCACACUGGAACUGAGACACGGUCCAGACUCCUACGGGAGGCAGCAGUGGGGAAUAUUGCACAAUGGGCGCAAGCCUGAUGCAGCCAUGCCGCGUGUAUGAAGAAGGCCUUCGGGUUGUAAAGUACUUUCAGCGGGGAGGAAGGCGAUAAGGUUAAUAACCUUGUCGAUUGACGUUACCCGCAGAAGAAGCACCGGCUAACUCCGUGCCAGCAGCCGCGGUAAUACGGAGGGUGCAAGCGUUAAUCGGAAUUACUGGGCGUAAAGCGCACGCAGGCGGUCUGUCAAGUCGGAUGUGAAAUCCCCGGGCUCAACCUGGGAACUGCAUUCGAAACUGGCAGGCUAGAGUCUUGUAGAGGGGGGUAGAAUUCCAGGUGUAGCGGUGAAAUGCGUAGAGAUCUGGAGGAAUACCGGUGGCGAAGGCGGCCCCCUGGACAAAGACUGACGCUCAGGUGCGAAAGCGUGGGGAGCAAACAGGAUUAGAUACCCUGGUAGUCCACGCCGUAAACGAUGUCGAUUUGGAGGUUGUGCCCUUGAGGCGUGGCUUCCGGAGCUAACGCGUUAAAUCGACCGCCUGGGGAGUACGGCCGCAAGGUUAAAACUCAAAUGAAUUGACGGGGGCCCGCACAAGCGGUGGAGCAUGUGGUUUAAUUCGAUGCAACGCGAAGAACCUUACCUGGUCUUGACAUCCACAGAACUUAGCAGAGAUGCUUUGGUGCCUUCGGGAACUGUGAGACAGGUGCUGCAUGGCUGUCGUCAGCUCGUGUUGUGAAAUGUUGGGUUAAGUCCCGCAACGAGCGCAACCCUUAUCCUUUGUUGCCAGCGGUUAGGCCGGGAACUCAAAGGAGACUGCCAGUGAUAAACUGGAGGAAGGUGGGGAUGACGUCAAGUCAUCAUGGCCCUUACGACCAGGGCUACACACGUGCUACAAUGGCAUAUACAAAGAGAAGCGACCUCGCGAGAGCAAGCGGACCUCAUAAAGUAUGUCGUAGUCCGGAUUGGAGUCUGCAACUCGACUCCAUGAAGUCGGAAUCGCUAGUAAUCGUAGAUCAGAAUGCUACGGUGAAUACGUUCCCGGGCCUUGUACACACCGCCCGUCACACCAUGGGAGUGGGUUGCAAAAGAAGUAGGUAG